UAAGCAUAUCAAUAAGCGGAGGAAAAGAAACCAACAGGGAUUGCCUUAGUAACGGCGAGUGAACAGGCAAGAGCUCAGAUUUGAAAGCCUUUCGGGGCAUUGUAUUCUGAAGCCUUGAUUCUGAGAACCGGUACCUAAGUCUUCUGGAAAGGAGCGCCAAGGAGGGUGAUAGCCCCGUACGGUACUGACCUCAUUGUAGAAUCUUGGCGUGGAGUCGAGUUGUUUGGGAAUGCAGCUCAAAUGGGUGGUAUGCUCCAUCUAAAGCUAAAUAUCUGCGAGAGACCGAUAGCGAACAAGUACUGUGAAGGAAAGAUGAAAAGAACUUUGAAAAGAGAGUGAAAAAGUACGUGAAAUUGUUGAAAUGGAAGGAUAGGCCGCUAACCACGUAGAGCCGUGUCUGAGGGGAGGAUAAAAGCUGUAGAAUGUGGCUCUUCGGAGUGUUAUAGCUGCAGUGCAUACUCCCACUCGGGCGCGAGGACCUAAGGCUCUGCUAAAUGGUGGUCUAUCACCCGUCUUGAAACACGGACCAAGGAGUCUAUUGCCUGCGCGAGUAUUUGGGUGGAAAACCCAUAUGCGAAGUGAAAGCGAGUGGUUCCAACCUUCGGGGGCAGAAUCAGCCGACCGUUCAUAGGAGCGGAUUGAGUGGAGCGUGGGUGAUGGGACCCGAAAGAUGGUGAACUAUGCCUGAAUAGGGUGAAGCCAGAGGAAACUCUGGUGGAGGCUCGUAGCGGUUCUGACGUGCAAAUCGAUCGUCAAAUUUGGGUAUAGGGGCGAAAGACUAAUCGA
rnacentral:rRNA from 1 species